GAUGAACGCUGGCGGCGUGCCUAAUACAUGCAAGUCGAGCGAACAGACGAGGAGCUUGCUCCUCUGACGUUAGCGGCGGACGGGUGAGUAACACGUGGAUAACCUACCUAUAGGACUGGGAUAACUUCGGGAAACCGGAGCUAAUACCGGAUAAUAUAUUGAACCGCAUGGUUCAAUAGUGAAAGACGGUUUUGCUGUCACUUAUAGAUGGAUCCGCGCCGCAUUAGCUAGUUGGUAAGGUAACGGCUUACCAAGGCAACGAUGCGUAGCCGACCUGAGAGGGUGAUCGGCCACACUGGAACGGAGACACGGUCCAGACUCCUACGGGAGGCAGCAGUAGGGAAUCUUCCGCAAUGGGCGAAAGCCUGACGGAGCAACGCCGCGUGAGUGAUGAAGGUCUUCGGAUCGUAAAACUCUGUUAUUAGGGAAGAACAAAUGUGUAAGUAACUAUGCACGUCUUGACGGUACCUAAUCAGAAAGCCACGGCUAACUACGUG
rnacentral:rRNA from 1 species